rnacentral:rRNA from 1 species
AUGCCCCUACCCGUUCCCACCUCCCGCCUCCUCGCCGCCAUCUCCGCUGCCGCGUCCUCAACUGCAGACCUCCGCCGCCUCUCCCACCUCCUCCUCACCCCCUACACCCCACUCCCCCCGCUCCGCUGCCUCAAUACCCUCCUCAUGGCGCUCGCCCGCCACCGCAUGCUCCCAGACAUGGAGUCCUUCGCAUCCCGCAUGCCCGCGCGCAACCUUCACACGUACACCACCCUUAUCAAUGCCUACUGCCUCGCCGGCGACCUCCCUGCUGCCAAGCGGCAUCUUGCCUCCCUACUCCGCGCUGGUCUUGCGCCGGACUCUCAUGCGUAUACCUCAUUUGUUCUCGGAUAUUGUCGGGCCGGGCUGCUUUCGCACGCCUGCCGGGUGUUCGUGCUAAUGCCGCUCCGAGGAUGUGCACGCACUGUGUUCACGUACACUGCGUUGCUCCAUGGGCUGUGUGGCGCCGGUAUGGUGCGUGAGGCUGUGGCAGUGUUUGCUGGGAUGCGGGCAGACGGGUGCGCCCCUGACACACAUGUGUAUGCCACGAUGGUGCAUGGACUGUGUGGGGCGGGGCGAACUGGUGAGGCAGAGGUUAUUCUCACGGAGGCAAUGGCUGAGGGUUUUGAGCCAAAUGUGGUCGUCUACAAUGCCCUGAUUGAUGGCUACUGCAAUGCUGGGGAUCUGGAGCUCGCGGUUAAGGUUUAUGAGAGGAUGGAUCUUAAGGGGUGCUCAGCGAACGUGCGAACGUAUACUGAGCUGAUAUGUGGGUUCUGCAAAUCUGGCAAGGUGGACAGAGCCAUGGUGAUGUUCAGCCGGAUGGUUGAGGCUGGUUUGGCUCCAAAUGUGGUGACAUACACGGCCUUAAUUCAGGGGCAGUGCAAUGAUGGGCAGUUGGAAUGUGCUUUUAGGAUGCUCCAAUCGAUGGAGGCCACUGGGCUGGUUCCUAGUGAGUGGACUUGCUCGAUGUUGAUUGAUGCUCUGUGCAAACGUGGAAGGGUUGGGGAAGCUCAGUUGUUUCUUGGGUCUCUUAUACAGAAAGGAUACAGAGUGAAUGAGAUUGUCUACAGCAGCUUGAUUGAUGGACUGUGCAAGGCAGGAAAGGUUGAUGCUGCUGACAAGUUAAUGCAGAAAUUGGUUUCACAGGGGUUUGUGCUAGACGCUCACACAUACAGUUCACUAAUUGAUGGAUUAUGCAGGCAAAAGGAGUUGUCACAAGCGAUGUUGGUGUUGGAUGAUAUGAUGGUGAAAGGAGUACAACCCAAUACUGUCACGUAUACCAUUCUAAUUGAUGAGCUUGUUAGGGAGCUAGGAUCUGAAGGUUCAAAGAAGAUACUUAAUAAGAUGAUUGCGGCAGGAAUUAAUCCUGAUGUUUUCACGUACACAAUAUUUGUUCGCUCCUACUGUCAUGAGGGAAGGAUGGAAGAUGCUGAACAUAUGAUGGUUGAAAUGGUUGAUCAGGGCAUUUCCCCUAAUUUAGUGACAUAUAACACUUUGAUUAGUGGGUAUGCAAAUUUAGGACUAGCCAGUCAAGCAUUUUCAGUUUUCAAGCACAUGGUUGCUAGUAGAUGCAAGCCAAAUGAGGAGUCCUACACGGCCCUGCUUAGAUUAUUGGUAAAGAAAAAAUCCUCUAAUAAUAUCCUUGCCAGCUCUGUUGAUAUAUGGAAAAUAGCAGAAAUGGAAUAUCUCCAGGAGCUUCUGGAGGAGGUGGUUAAGCUUCAGUUGCUUUCAGACAUUGAAAUUUACAAUUGUUUUCUUAGGUCUUUAUGCCGAGUUGAUAGAUUGGAGGAAACCAAAAUUUUGCUCGGUGAGAUGCAGAGUGCUAACUUGACCCCUGGUGAGGAUGUAUAUACUUCAAUUAUAGGGUGUUGUUGCAGACUAAAAAUGCCAACAGAAGCUUUGACAUUUCUUGAUUCAAUGGUCAAAAGUGGUUAUUUACCACGUAUAGAAUCGUAUAGGCAUAUUAUUUGUUCUCUUUGUGAGGAGGGAAGUAUUAAGACUGCUAAAAAGGUUUUGGGUCACAUGUUAUUGGAGGAAUACAACUAUGAUGAGAUUGUUUGGAAGAUUCUGAUUGAUGGUCUAUUGCGGAAGGGCAAUGCUGCUGAGUGUUUGAUUCUGCUCUCAGUGAUGGAGGAGCAAGAUUAUCGUCCUGGUGACGCAUUGUAUGCCAAGCUUACAGCCACUUGCUCUUUCAGCAGGCUGUUUCAUCCCUUGGAGGAAGCACACCCUUUCAGAAUACCACACAAACUCUACAUAGAAUAG